CCUUGGGUCCUCCCACCAGGUAAACGGAGGAGGUCAGGAUGGGAGACCAGCAGGGAGAGACCAGAAGGGAGAGACCAGAAGGGAGAGGAGAAAGAGGCGGUGGAGCUGACCUACUCAGUCAUUCAUUCACUGAAUCCUGGCUCAUGGAGCCAGCACUGUGGCCUUUGCAGAAGCGCCACAAUGCCCAAGGCAGCUGUGGUCCUGCCCUUGCGGCACUUAGACUUGGAGCGGGGCAGGGCCGAGGCCUGGGAAGAGAUCAUGAGGACACAAGGAGGCAGAUGGAGACACUGAGGCUCAGGAUUUGUGACUUGUCUAGGGUCAUGCAAAGAUUUGAAGCCAGGUCUAUCUGACCCCCCUCCCCGGCCCCCUCAAGCUCACCUUGACAUCCUCGGGCUCUGAGAAAGUGUCAGUCUCCUCCUCUGUGGGUAUCUCCAGGUCGGACUCCUCGGAGGCAAUGGGCACGUGAAUGGUCAGGUCCUUGUCGUCCUCCUCAGGCGGUGGCUCCUUCUUCUCGUCCCCUGGGGUACUCUCCCCGGCCUCCCCGGCCUCCCGGGCCUCCUCGGCCUCCCCGGGCCCCCCGAGGGAUGCGGAAGACGAUGAGGAAGGAGUGGAAGAAGUCGUUCAUGUGCCAGCGGGGCAGGCUGCAGUCGGCCGCGAUCUUGCACACACACUCCUUGUAGCUCUUGCCGAACAGCUGCAUGCCCACGACGGCGAAGAUGAA